UCCAGUGGGAACGCUGCAAGCGUGAGAGACGCAGCAGUUCAGCGACACACAAGCACACGCGAUGCUCACGCAUCUAGUGUGUCCCGGGCGUUAACGUGACCAACGUCCUGCCUACAAGGAACCUGAUUGGUUGACGCUGAACGUCGCCCACCUUCAUUUGAAUUUUUGUCGGUUAGCUGCUAAUGCUAGUAAACCCAGGAUAUGUACAAAUUUAGUUACAGAAAAGUGAUUCUUGGGCUUGUUUUAAAUGGGAGCGGCAAGGGAAAUUUCUGAUAGGGGUUUGGCCAGGCCAAACUCAGAAAAAUUUCUUCCGUUAUUGCCAAGCAUUAACGUUAGUCCCUUCAGUCAACCGGUCUACUGCAGUAUGCAUGGCGAAGAUGGUCAGCGGUUUAACGUGCAUGAAGAAAUCUGUUAAAAUCGUUAUUAUUCAAGCCACGCUGAAUCUUGAAAUUUUGAAAGCUCUUCAUGGACCCCUGAUGAAAACAGGUGCAGUUUCAGGAGGAAAGUGAUGCAGAGGGAGCCCAAGCCAAUCAGGGAGAGAAGGAUGAACAGGCAUCAGAGUUUCAGAUGGAGACAGAGAAAGAACACCCAGAACAUAGAGAGAGACGUGAGGAGGGCUGGUUUGAGGUACAACCAAAUGGCUACUCCAGUAUGAAAAUGACCACCAGGGGCAUUCCAAGCCAGAGAGGCUCCCCAUCUGGAUGGAAGACAGUCCUCUGUGUGCCUGAUUAAUGGCGUGGAGAGACAGUUGCCAGUUCUGAAGCCUUGCUGUCUGGCCCAGGUCAAAACUUCCAGAAGGCAACCUAAUGUUACUCCAAAAAAAAAAAACCAAACCCUCAGAGAUUGUUGUGCUCUCUUUAAAAUGAUCAGGACGUAAUGUACCCAAGUUAGUUUUAGUUCUGACAGUAAAAAGUUGCCUAUAAAAAUAAUUAAUUGAUGAAGGGAUGUAAAAUCUUUAAUAAGAAAAAUUGAAAAUUUGUAUUUUUUUUCCUAAUGAAGAUGUACUAACUAGCUGAAUUAUCAUGUUAGUGAACGUAAUUUUAGUGAAUCUAAUAGAGCUUAUAAACAAUCUAUUCAACUGUCCCGGACAUUUACUGCUGUUGUUGAAGAUGUUGUUGUCUUAUUCACUCUUUGCACUCUUUGUCUUAUUUACUCUUUGCAUUCAUUUUGCAACACUUAAUCUUGUCAAAAUGUCCUACUAUGAAUAUUCAAAUAUAUUUUACUACAUGUCAUAAAUUUUCAUGCAUUUCCUCAUCCAAAUAUCUGUCACCAUAGUCAGACAUUUUCGAAUCCUGUAGGACUUAAUGCUUUAAUCCUUAAAUAUUUUUUACACAAUUGAUACACUGAUUGAUACAUUUAGCAUCACCACUCGCAAGAACAACACUAAUACAUUCUUUUAUUAGAGUAGAAAAAAAUGAAAACAUGUCCACCCUCUUUCAGGCCUCAAAUUUCAAGACUGUAGUCCAGCCAUAGAGCCAAGCAAUUAGAAUGAUUAUGAGGACUUUGUCUUUACUGGUUUUACUUUUGAUUUAUACUUUAAACUUUCUUUGAAUCUUGGACUACUAUCAGUACUCUGUAGAGCACUGCUCGUGAUUUUAGCUGAGCCAGUCAAAGGAAGGGCAAAGCAUCUCUCUUACCACUGGAGCCUUGACUCAUUUGUCACUAAUGUGUCAAAGAGAAGAUGACAUUUACAGCCUGCUGAAGUGACUGCCAGCUAGCCCUUCAGGCACCCCAGAAGUAAUAAAUGUUUACCUUUAAGAAAGAGGUCUGUGGGUUCAGGUUCUUUCUUUAGAUGUGAGAAGGUUCUUUUGUACACUGGGUUCUUAUUUUCCACAUCUAUACACCUUUAUUUGAAAUGUACACCGAAGUGAAGAAAUUGGUUUCAUUUGUAUUAGUGCUUUAAUACCUAUUCACAUUAGCUUUUUUUUUUAGUCGCAUAAACUGUAUUUAAAAUUAGAAUGUGUUCUCUUUUUUUGCCAUGAAGUAUAUUACUAAAUAAAUGUAGUUAAAUGGCAGUAUUAUCUUUGCCUUGAUGGGAGUGGAGUCCAUUACCGACUUUGUGAAAUUGUUAUUGAGUUAAAAAUUGAGUUACUCAGCAGAAAGAUAAAAAAAAUUAAGUGGAUUGAAAGAUGGUAGGCAUAUUUCAUACAUCAACAUCAAAGAGUAUCACCCCCCGCCAAAAAAAAAAAAAGAUUGAUUGAACUAUAUAUAAUAUUGCAAACAUUACAGCAACAUAUAGUAGAAUCACAUACAUGAAUAAUAAUAAUGUAUUUAAAUAUAUAGCCAAAAACAUCGUUGUUGAGAAAUUCAUGAUGAUAAAAGCCACAGCCAUGACCAACAUAAUUCAUAACUCAGUGUCACCCAACCUGUAAUUCACACUGUAAAACAACCAGAUUUCUAUGCAAACCAGUGACCUCUGCAAUCUUUUGUGUAAGAAAAGUGAAAUCACACCCCUGGUCUCUUGAAACACUGUUUUAACUGAUGAUAAGCUGUUUAUCUUUAUCAAAAUGAAUGACCUCAAGUUGUAUUUCUAGUAGAGCUGACCACAAACCUGUAAGAAGUAACACCUGAGGAUAUUUAGAAUAUGUUUUUUGUAAUAUUCUCAAAAUCUUAUCGUGUUUCCUGUGAUAAUUACUCAUAAAUGCUCUCAACCGCAUAGACAUUGUUCAAGAGCUUGAAAACAUAUCUUAAUGGAAUCCUGAUAAAUCGUGUGAAGGAGAUAACAGUGUGUGUCUACAUUGACCUACGCUGAUAAAAUUUGGACUUACGAUGAAUGUUUAUAUCCCCAACUGUCUGCAUCCAGACAAUAGCAACACCAGCUAAUACAACCCUUGCUUGAACAACCCAUAAAUUGAACUAGUACUAAAUCAAUGGAAAGCUGCAAAAAUGUGAGAACGAGAUGAAGAGAAAACCAAUGUCUGGGCCUUGAGGGAAAAGAUGCGCAACAUCACACCAGACUCUUAUCUCUGGAUGCAUCUCUCCCCUGAGAGGAUUCCACACUCCAGCAAACAGCAGGAUUCAAAGGGUAAGGUGUGAAAGGAUCAUUCCAAGUCUCAAAGGAGAGGCUUCUUUCAAUAUCCUCAAAGGUCCCAUAACAGCCUACCAGUCUGUGCUCAGCGCACCUCCACCCCUCAUCCCACCCUCGCUAUCUCGUUUUCCUCAUCUGGCCCAGGCCCACUUCCACAUCUACAUCCCAUUGUCUGAGUGAAGGCAGCACGCGCAGGGCUGGGGCCAGUCCAAACAUACUCAUCUCUCUCUCUGGAUGGCUGCCAGCAUUCUUUGAAAAAUGUAAACUUUGUUACUUUCCAAAUCAAUUUAACAGUUGUCUCUUAUAAUGGAACAAAGAUUACAGUCUGUUUUUUCCCUUUAAAAAAUGUAUAUGUGAUUAUUUACAUAGCUUCUUGUAGGUGUGUAUGUGUGUGCAUGUUAUGUCAUGUUGUGUGUUGGGAUCCAUGCAUGCACAUGUGUCGGAGAAACCAAAUCCCAAUCCAUCAUGCAUUCCCCAAGGUGGGCCAGCCAGUGUGUGUGUUUGUCACUGUCCCCUGUCAGGAAAGAGGGUUGGAGCGUGUUCUCCGGACGAACCCUCUUUGGCUGAGGAAGUGCUCCUCUAUAUUGGCCUCUUUGUGGCUCGCUAAUCGAGCUUUCCUGUCAGCAGGCUGCACGGUCCCAGUGCAGGGUGCACUACGUGAUACAGACCCACUCCGGUGCUCCAAGGGAAGUUCUGGGAUCAGCAGAUAACAGCACAGCUCCCUCAUCUGACACGCAGAAUAGUGCUGCCUCUCUCUGUCUCUCUGUCCUUGCAUGAAUAAGGAAAACACCGAUUUUAACCAUCUGAAAAAUUCCAUUAUUUAGACCUAAGUGUCAUUCUCCUUUGGAAAACCCCACAAUUUCCUCUUUAAAGUAUAAAAUAUUGUCCUCUAAAAUCAGGAUGAAUGAUAUACUCUUUGUCUCAUACAACUUCAACAUCUUGUGUUACAAAGUUAAUACAUCUUGUAAUUAGAAAAUACUAUCUGUUAAACAUUUUAACAUUUUGCAUUACACUGUCUGGACUUUGUUGCCAAUUUAGUGAUUUCAACAGACUAUUAUCCCUCCCACCUGAGUUUUGUACUCCACAGUGGGCCAUCAUGCAAACUGUAACACUCUUUUGAAAUGUAAGCGGAAUCUAGUGCUAUCUGAGAAGAGUGGUCACGAAGGACCCAUGUUCCCGUAUUCAAAACCAAUUAUAAAAUGAUAAUCUGUAGGUGUCAAUUCUAUUUAAAUUUUCCGGUUAUUCAAGCAUUUACACUUAUGUCAGGGGGAUUUUUCAAGGACACUGAAGGAUAUAGCAGAUAUCCUGGUGACAUCACUGAAUUUGUGAUUUUCUCAGUCUACCUUACAUUUAGAUGGUAUAUUAUUGUUCACAUUCCCCAAAUUAAGUAGGCAAGGACUAAUGAUGUUACUACUUCAAUAAUAUUAUUUUAAGGAGGUCCAUGUCAUUGUGUUUGUAUGCACAUAAUGAAAUAUGCACAUGUGAAUGAAUCAACACCCCAGUUUCAGAGUAGAGCGAUGUCAAUGCAACAUUAUUUGGUUGUUGUUACUCAUUUUCAGUUCUUCCAACUAAUUUUCUGUGGUGGUGCAUUAAAACUGGAAAGAUAAUUAGGUCUGAAGGUGUUAAUUAAAAAAAAUAGUCUUGUUGAUACUUCCUUCACUGACCGCCAACAGCCUUUUGGAGUUGUGGUCAGUUUUCUGCUACCUUAGAACAUAACCUCUCUGUUGAAGGUGGUACAUCCGAAAGAAGCGCAGGAACAUGUGACAGAAUGGUAAUGAAAUGACUGCCACACAAGUUUAAAAUUUUAUUUUCAAACUCAAAGCUGCUGCAUAUUUCAAGUAGACUGGUGGUCUGGUGGUUAAUUAGAACUGACUCUUGACUUCCAGCCCUGUGAGAGAAGUAUGUAUCCAAUGGUCAGACUAUAAUUUGUAAGAGCUUU